rnacentral:rRNA from 1 species
CCUACGGGAGGCAGCAGUCGAGAAUCAUUCACAAUGGGGGAAACCCUGAUGGUGCGACGCCGCGUGGGGGAAUGAAGGUCUUCGGAUUGUAAACCCCUGUCAUGUGGGAGCAAAUUAAAAAGAUAGUACCACAAGAGGAAGAGACGGCUAACUCUGUGCCAGCAGCCGCGGUAAUACAGAGGUCUCAAGCGUUGUUCGGAAUCACUGGGCGUAAAGCGUGCGUAGGCUGUUUCGUAAGUCGUGUGUGAAAGGCGCGGGCUCAACCCGCGGACGGCACAUGAUACUGCGAGACUAGAGUAAGGGAGGGGGAACCGGAAUUCGCGGUGUAGCAGGGAAAUGCGUAGAUAUCGAGAGGAACACUCGUGGCGAAGGCGGGUUCCUGGACAUUAACUGACGCUGAGGCACGAAGGCCAGGGGAGCGAAAGGGAUUAGAUACCCCGGUAGUC